AUUGAACGCUGGCGGCAUGCUUUACACAUGCAAGUCGAACGGCAGCGGGGGCUUCGGCCUGCCGGCGAGUGGCGAACGGGUGAGUAAUGCAUCGGAACGUGCCCAUGUCGUGGGGGAUAACGUAUCGAAAGGUACGCUAAUACCGCAUACGUCCUGAGGGAGAAAGCGGGGGGUCUUCGGACCUCGCGCGAUUGGAGCGGCCGAUGUCGGAUUAGCUAGUAGGUGAGGUAAAGGCUCACCUAGGCGACGAUCCGUAGCGGGUCUGAGAGGAUGAUCCGCCACACUGGGACUGAGACACGGCCCAGACUCCUACGGGAGGCAGCAGUGGGGAAUUUUGGACAAUGGGCGCAAGCCUGAUCCAGCCAUGCCGCGUGAGUGAAGAAGGCCUUCGGGCGUGUAAAGUACUCUUUCGGUCCGGGAAGAAAGUUGUGUUCUCUAACAUAGGACAUGGAUGACGGUACCGGACUAAGAAGC
rnacentral:rRNA from 1 species